rfam:Salmo salar isolate Sally breed double haploid chromosome ssa16, whole genome shotgun sequence.
UGAAUGCACUAACUGUAAGUCGCUCUGGAUAAGAGCAUCUGCUAAAUGACAAAAA